rnacentral:rRNA from 1 species
UACAGAGGGUGCGAGCGUUAAUCGGAAUUACUGGGCGUAAAGCGUGCGUAGACGGUUAUGUAAGUCAGAUGUGAAAGCCCCGGGCUCAACCUGGGAAUGGCAUUCAGGACUGCGAGGCUUUGAGUGUGGCAGAGGGAGGUGGAAUUCCACGUGUAGCAGUGAAAUGCGUAGAGAUGUGGAGGAACACCGAUGGCGAAGGCAGCCUCCUGGGCCAGCACUGACGCUCAUGCACGAAAGCGUGGGGAGCAAACAGG